ensembl:lncRNA
UAUAAAUUCAGCAUAAAUUUAAUUUAAUACAGCAAAUAUUAACAUGCUUAAUAUAACACUUUACAAAUCUACUUUAAAAUAAACUUGUUUUCUUUGAAUUGUAUUAAUAAAGGUUUAUUUUUCUUACCCCACAGACAGAUAUUUUACUUGUUUUAAGCAUAAACCCGCUUAAUUUUAAUUAUAUUUUACUUAAUAUUUUAAGUCAUUUUGCUUCCCAGGUAAAUGUGUCUUAAUUUAAGAAUAUUUAGAUAUUUGGCCAAAAAUCAUGAGUAAGAAAAUAUUUUUUUGCAGUUCAGUAUCUGUUCCUAGACCUAGUGCGCUUCCUAACUAGACAACUUAAAGAUGCAACGUCCUUAAGGUUUUCUAAUAUCACUUUAAUAGAGAAAUCAGUGUUAGAAUGCAUUGCAACAAGCUCAGUUAAAUCUAAUGCAUUAUUUGGGAUGGAGUUAAAAAUACAUUUUAUUUAGUGGUGGAAAAUAUUGACAAAAAGUUUAUUCUAAUUAAUGCUUUAUUUUGUCCAAUAUUUGUGUGAGUUUUGUGUUUUUAUUUUUAAUAAAAUGCAGUGUUUUUAUCAUCAAAUUAUUGAAAUCAAUUGGUGUUUAACACACAAAAGUGCUUCCGAAUCUCUCACUUAUGAGGUUCAGUCUCAGUUAGGAUGUUGACUAUGUAGGGAGCACUAGGUUUUGGAGCAGAUGUGUUUUUGUGUGUCUUUUCCUCUCAGUAUCGUCUGUUUUGCUCUGUGUGUUCAUUUAUAACAUGUAUUCUUUAGUGAACAUGAUGACGAUUAAUCCACCAACUCACUCUUCUCUUUACUCUGAGCUUAUAGAUCCACGUUCUUCUGUAAAUAAAUCGUCUUCACUCAUUUAUUCCUUCAUAACGAUCUUUGUUUACUUGUUUUUAAUGACAACAUUGACGAUUGUCCUUAACUUCGUUUUUUAUUCUAAUAUCUGAACACAUUUAAUCACCCUUUUCAGUAUUAUAAUUAGCAGAAGUGAUAUAGAAAUGUGUGUUUCACACACUAACUCGAGCGUAUGUUUGGAUCUUUUUAUUAAAUCUGUCCGGUGAGAAUCGCUCAGAUGAAUCUGCUUUCUGAGGUCAAACUUUGAUGUUUUUAUGGCUUCACUUCUCGUUUGUUGAUGUGUUUUUGUUCUUUAUUAAACUCGAAACAAACCAACAAUAAAACCGAUUGGAUCAAAACUGCUGUCAUUUCAGAUGUUUUAUUUGACUGACCUGCUGCCUAGUGUUAAAACUGAACUCAGGCAAUUCUAUUCUCAUUUUACACCAACAGAAAUUAAUUAUACUUCAGACUGAAUGAGUACAAAUCCAUUUCUCUCCUCAGUAUUUAACAUGGCGAGUGUUUCCAUGAUGCAUUUUGUGCAUUUUACAGGUGAAUCAAUUCCAAAUAUGCUAAUGUUAUGAUA